UCUUAUCACACGUACAUAUAAACGAGCUGCAUUUUAUAUCCAAGAGUAUAUUGUGAAGGCUUUUCCCUCUAUAUUGAUUAAUAUCAAAUAAUAAUAUAUUUAUUCGACCAUCAUGAGAGUGCACAUUUAUUGUACAUUUGCUAUAGUUUUACUUGCUAGCUUUUUGGACCAUGUCAUGUCCCAGCGUCCUCCGGAUCAUGGCCGUAUACCUUGCCAUAGUUUAGCAGAGUGCGCGGAAACCUGCAGAAGUCGCUGUCCUGAUGACACUGAGCCUUUCUGCGAUGGCACUUGUUGGUGUGCUCCAGCCUGGUUGUAGUAAAACAAGGCGGGUCGACCAACAACUGAUUUAUUAUAUCAAAAUACCCUCAAGUAUAUUAUAAUAAUUACACUACAUCUUUCUUUUUCUAUAUUGAAAAACAAUUGAUGUAUGAGACAUGCAUAAAAAUUAAAAUCCUUUAAUAUCUCUA